rnacentral:tRNA from 1 species
UAGGGUUGUAGUUAAAUUAACAUUUGAUUUGCAUUCAAAAAAUAUUGAAAAUAAUUAUCAAUCUACCUUAA